rnacentral:rRNA from 1 species
GGAUUAGCUAGUUGGUGGGGUAAAGGCCUACCAAGGCGACGAUCUGUAGCGGGUCUGAGAGGAUGAUCCGCCACACUGGGACUGAGACACGGCCCAGACUCCUACGGGAGGCAGCAGUGGGGAAUAUUGGACAAUGGGGGGAACCCUGAUCCAGCCAUGCCGCGUGUGUGAAGAAGGCCUUAUGGUUGUAAAGCACUUUAAGCGAGGAGGAGGCUACUGAGACUAAUACUCUUGGAUAGUGGACGUUACUCGCAGAAUAAGCACCGGCUAACUCUGUGCCAGCAGCCGCGGUAAUACAGAGGGUGCGAGCGUUAAUCGGAUUUACUGGGCGUAAAGCGUGCGUAGGCGGCUUUUUAAGUCGGAUGUGAAAUCCCCGAGCUUAACUUGGGAAUUGCAUUCGAUACUGGGAAGCUAGAGUAUGGGAGAGGAUGGUAGAAUUCCAGGUGUAGCGGUGAAAUGCGUAGAGAUCUGGAGGAAUACCGAUGGCGAAGGCAGCCAUCUGGCCUAAUACUGACGCUGAGGUACGAAAGCAUGGGGAGCAAACAGGAUUAGAUACCCUGGUAGUCCAUGCCGUAAACGAUGUCUACUAGCCGUUGGGGCCUUUGAGGCUUUAGUGGCGCAGCUAACGCGAUAAGUAGACCGCCUGGGGAGUACGGUCGCAAGACUAAAACUCAAAUGAAUUGACGGGGGCCCGCACAAGCGGUGGAGCAUGUGGUUUAAUUCGAUGCAACGCGAAGAACCUUACCUGGCCUUGACAUACUAGAAACUUUCCAGAGAUGGAUUGGUGCCUUCGGGAAUCUAGAUACAGGUGCUGCA